AUUAAUGAAAUAAUUCGGCGAGGGGGAUGGGAGGGAGCUGUCGCUGGCCUUUUUGCGAGGGCAUGUGCACGCUCUUUUCUGAGCCCUCGUCGUUUUUCAUAUCUUCACCCGUGCACACAAUGUAGGAUGCCCCUCCUUCGGGAAGGGGGUACCUAUGUCUUUCAUACACAUGAAAGUUUAGAAAGUCUCAGAACGUUUACUAUCGUCGAGCCGCGACUUCUAGGAGACGCGGGUCGGCGAAACAAAAGUUAUUACAACUUUCAGCAAUGGAUCUCUUGGCUCUCGCAUCGAUGAAGAACGCAGCGAAUUGCGAUAUGUAAUGUGAAUUGCAGAUCUACAGUGAAUCAUCGAAUCUUUGAACGCACAUUGCGCUCCUCGGUGUUCCGAGGAGCAUGCCUGUUUGAGUGUCAGUAAAUUCUCGACCCCUCUCGAUUUAUUUCGAGGGGGAGCUUGGAUGGUGGGGGUUGCUGGAGUCCCAGGACUCGAGCUCUCCUGAAAUGCAUUGGCUUGCGGUCGACUUUCUCCUUUGCGCGACAAGGCUUUCGGUGUGAUGAUGAUCGCCGUUCGCCGAAGCGCAUGAACGAAGGUCUCGUGCCUCCAAUACGUCGACUCUUCUCCGAAGAGUCUUCCUUCUUUAUGUUUGACCUCAAAUCAGGUAGGACUACCCGCUGAACUUAAGCAUAUCAAUAAGCGGAGGAAAAGAAACUAACAAGGAUUCCCCUAGUAACUGCGAGUGAAGAGGGAAAAGCUCAAAUUUUGAAUCUGGCGGUCUUCAUGGCCGUCCGAGUUGUAAUCUAGAGAAGCGUCUUCCGCGCUGGACCGUGU
rnacentral:sRNA from 1 species